GGCCAGGGAGCCGCAGGCAAGGGACUAAGGGGAGGGGGGCUCAGUGCCAGCUGCUUAAAAAUGCCCCUGUGGCAGCGAGGGGCACCAGAGGCUGGGUCUAAUUAGUUGAGAAGCAGUGACACCCCCAACCACUCCCCAAACAGGCUGGCUCCCGUCUCCAGGCCCCAAGGAGCCACACCUGGACCAGACCCCAGGAAAGGCAAGGGCACUAGCUGGUGGGAGCCACCCCGCCAUGCUGAUGUCAGAGAAGCAAGAACUCUGGAGAAGCAGCCUCCUGGGACCAGAGGAGGGCCAGCAGCAGGCAGCCCGGAGACAGAACUCUCACCCACGCCUCUCCAAGCCUCCCGACAGAAGACAGAGGUCCCCCACAGCCAGAGACAUUUCCUGAAGACAUGGGGAACACAGAGGCAGAAACAGCCCAUCCACCCAGGAGCUGUCCCCCACACUGCCGGGAGCCGGCACCCAGAGCCGCCAGGUAAAACUGAGGCCACCUGGUUCAACAUCGCCUUUCAUAGAAGGGGAAGCAGCCACAGAAAGAAGGGCCUGGUAAGAAGUGGAACCUGGGACCCCCAAGCGGUGUCUCUCAUCCUGACUGGGGAUCCAGAGUAGGAGGGAGCCUUUGGUGGGGUUGGAGUCCCGCCACAGGCCACCAGAGCGGAGCAGCGCAGCGCCCUGUCUCCCAGCCUGAGGUGCAGUGCUGCAUCUCUGGUCAGUUGGGAGUCUGAGAUGAAGCACUGUAGCUCAGGAAGAGAGAAGUUUUUCUGCAGCCAUCAGCCUGGAAGUGGCUGGAUGUGGGAACUUCAGCACUGCCGUACUCUUGGGAAAUUUGUCCAAGGCCACCCGGCUGAGCAGCGGUUGAACCAGGACACCAUCAGGCAUGCGUUUCUUGUCUCCACCACACCCUCAACCCACUUCCCAACGCGCCUUGCGACAGGGGCUGCGGUAUUGCAUCCACAUGACUGAUAAACUAGUAAACACACAUGAAUUCAUUUUAAAAGUGUAUUCAAUCAGUUAGGUAAACUAAAAACCUCAAGUCUUCGUUCGAUUUGGAAUGCAGCCAGAGAACAAAUGGAAAAUUUUUCAAGGUAGAGAAGAUGAAAACUCAGAACGCCCUCUUGUGGCAUCUCUACCCACCCCAGGAACACUAUGGCUCUUCCCCUACACACGGUGAUUGCUAACCUUGCUACAAGACGUUGGACACACACACACACACACACACACACACACUGAGGUUCCUUUUGCUCCCUCACUUUUGAGCCAGUGACUACUGAAACCCUCUCCAUUGUUGCACCACCAGCAAUGCCCCCAUCACUUCCUCUCGUUUACUUCCACAGGCUGGUUCAUCCUCAAAGCCCUCCUUACGUAGAUCUGUGGGAUCAGUGAGGCUCAGAGAGGUAAAGUGGCCAGCCCAAGGUCGCCCAGACAGCAAAAGGCAGGGCCAGCGCUGAUUUCAAGUCCAAUGGCCUAUGGCAAUUUCUUAGCCAAAAGCAAAAUCUACAAAAAUAAAAAGGCAGGCACAGUGGUGAGUGCCCACAGUCCCAGCUACUGAGGAGGCCGACGGGGGAGGACCACUUGAGCUUGGGAGUUCCCGGCUGCAGAGAGCUAUGAUUGUGCCUGUGAAUAGCCAAUGCACUCCAGCCUGAGCAAGAUAGGGAGACCCUGUCUCUAAAAAAUACCUAAAUAAUUUUAAAAGUCAGCCUCUCUGACUGCCUAUAGAGAAUGCUAACUGACUGAAUGACAAAAGACCUAAUGUAAUCCAGGUGCAAAAUCAGAACUUUCCGGCCGGGCGCGGUGGCUCACGCCUGUAAUCCCAACACUUUGGGAGGCCCAGGCGGGUGGAUCACGAGGUCAGGAGUUCAAGACCGGCCUGCCCAACAUGGCAAAACCCCGUCUCUACUAAAAAUACAAAAAAUUAACUGGGCGUGGUGGUGGGCACCUAUAAUCUCAGCUACUCAGGAGGCUGAGGCAGGAGAAUUGCUUGGACCCGGGAGGCAGAGGUUGCAGUGAGCUGAGAUCGCGCCACUGCACUCCAGCGUGGGCGACAAAAGUGAAACUCUGUCUCAAAAAAAAAAAAAAAUAGAACUUUCCCUGUACUCUUGCUAGGGCUUUUCAUGGAGUUGUAGAAACGGUAGUAAGUGCCAAGGCCCCAGAACCCGAAUGUUUGGGUCCGACUCCCACAUUGCCAGAGACUAGGCAGCUCACACAGGUGUCCCAAGCUGUCUUUCUCACAGGCCGCAUUGAAGGCGUUUAUGAAAUGAGACCCCCUCUUCCUCAUCCGUAGUGACAGGGCUGGCCUGACCGUGGAGAAAUCAGAUUUGAUCAUGAUAGCUUCCACUCCGUGACUGGUCACGACCUGCCAGGCGCUGUGCUAAACACUUUCAUAGGCCUUGUCCCCCUCCAUCCUGAUAACACCCCAGUGAAGCAGGCCCUGCUCUUCACUCCACUCCACAAAGCCAAGGCUGAGAGAGGUUAACAGACUUACCUAAGGUCACACAGCUAAGAAGUCGUGAAGCUGGGAUCGAAUCAAGUCUGUGUUUAUGGGUUUAACUAUCAUGUUGUGGCCCCAACCCCAUUUGGCCUAGCCUGGCUGGUGGGCCUUCUUGCAGUAGCUUCCCCUGGAGAAGAGGAAAAGCAAACCUUCAUUGAGACCCAAGCGGUCUCUCCUGUGCUCUGUGACAAUAAUAAAGUUCUGGCCCUUGG
rnacentral:lncRNA from 1 species